rnacentral:SRP_RNA from 1 species
GCUAAAGUAUAGCUAUUAGAGUCCUAACUACCUGGGAGGCUGAGGCAGCAGGAUAGCUUGUGUUCAGGAGUUCUGGGCUGUAUUGUGGUAUGCCAGACAGGUGUCUGCACUAAGUUCAGGAUCAAUACAGUGACCUCCUGGGAGAGGAAACUGCUAGGCUGGCUAAGGAGGGAUGAACUGGUCCAAGUGAGAAAUGGAGGAGGUCAAAACUCUUGUGUUGAUUAGUAAUGGGGUCACACCUGUGAUUAACUACUGUAGUCCAGCCUGGGCCACAUAGCAAGAUCUCACCUCU